AACGAACGCUGGCGGCGUGCUUAACACAUGCAAGUCGAACGGAAAGGCCGCUUUCGGGGGGUCCUCGGGGGGCGAACGGGUGAGUAACACGUGAGUAACCUGCACUUGACUUUGGGAUAAGUUCUGGAAACGGGGGCUAAUACCGGAUAGGAGAUCCUGCUGCAUGGUGGGGGCUGGAAAGUUUCGGCGGUUGGGGAUGGGCUCGCGGCUUCUAAGGAUGUGGGUGGUGGCGUGGCUUACCCAGGCUUUGGCGGGUAGCCGGCCUGGGAGGGUGACCGGCCACAUUGACACUGAGAUACGGCCCCGGCCCCGACGGGUGGCAGCAGUGGGGAAGAUUGCUCUAGGAGUGGGAGCCUGAUGCAGCAACGCCGUGUGCGGGAUGACGGUCUUCGGGUUGUAGUCCGCUUUCGCUCUUGACGAAGAUUUGUGUGACGGUAGUGGGUAAAUAAGCACCGGCUAACUCCGUG
rnacentral:rRNA from 1 species